rnacentral:piRNA from 1 species
UCCUGGAAGCAAAGGUUCGAGACCAUUC